GCAAGUCGAGGGGCAGCAUUUACUUCGGUAAGAUGGCGACCGGCGAACGGGUGCGUAACGCGUAUGCAACCUUCCUUAUACAAAAGGAUAGCCCAUGGAAACGUGGAUUAAUACUUUAUAGUACUAUAAAACUGCAUAGAUUAAUAGUUAAAACUUCGGUGGUAUAAGAUGGGCAUGCGUAUGAUUAGCUAGUUGGUGAGGUAAUGGCUCACCAAGGCGACGAUCAUUAGGGGUUCUGAGAGGAUUAUC
rnacentral:rRNA from 1 species